rnacentral:miRNA from 1 species
GGUCCCCAACCCAGUCCUCAUGGACCACCAACAGUCCAGUAUUCAUGUAUUCCCUUUUUUAUUCAAAUGGUGAUACUGACAAAGCCUGGACUGUUGGUGGUCCAUGAGGACUGGGUUUGGGAC